UACGAAGGGUGCAAGCGUUACUCGGAAUUACUGGGCGUAAAGCGUGCGCAGGCGGUUGGCCGUGUCCGAUGUGAAAGCCCCGGGCUUAACCUGGGAAUGGCAUUGGAAACUGGCUGGCUGGAGUGUGGCAGAGGGGGGUGGAAUUCCACGUGUAGCAGUGAAAUGCGUAGAGAUGUGGAGGAACACCGAUGGCGAAGGCAGCCCCCUGGGCCAACACUGACGCUCAGGCACGAAAGCGUGGGGAGCAAACAGG
rnacentral:rRNA from 1 species